AUUGAACGCUGGCGGCAGGCCUAACACAUGCAAGUCGAACGAGGGGUGGAGGGGUGAGUAAUGUCUGGGAAACUGCCUGAGGGAGGGGGAAAACGACUGGAAACGGUAGAAAAUACCGCAAACCAUCGGAUGUGCCCAGUUGGGAUUAGCGAGUCGGGGGGGUAAGGGCUCCCCAGGGCGACGCUCCCUAGCUGGUCUGAGAGGAUGACCAGCCACACUGGGACUGAGACACGGUCCAGACUCCUACGGGAGGCAGCAGUGGGGAAUAUUGCACAAUGGGCGCAAGCCUGAUGCAGCCAUGCCGCGUGUAUGAAGAAGGCCUUCGGGUUGUAAAGUACUUUCAGCGGGGAGGCGUUACCCGCAGAAGAAGCACCGGCUAACUCCGUGCCAGCAGCCGCGGUAAUAC
rnacentral:rRNA from 1 species